AAUACAACAUUCAAAAAAAACGCGUUUAAACGUGAAUUCUACGACAUAUCGCUACCCGAGUUUUAAUUGCAUAUUUAUCUGUAGUGGUAUUUGAAACUCGGUAUUUCCUGUUGAUACGUGCAAUUUGAACAAUUCUAUUGAAAGGAUUGAAUGUUGAAAACUCCAAAACGGCAUAACCUCGAUACUUAGAUCAUGCGUAUGGAAAAUUCGACCGACUUGAUUAUUUGGGAGGGGGAGGAUCUGUAAGGUAAGCAAAUUAAAAAAAAAUAUAUAUACCCUUUCUCCCUCAAUAUUCAUAUUUAAAUUUAACCGAAAUUGUAUCAUUGCAGUUCACGUAUAAAAGAACUAUAAUUCUCGAGUUUGACCUCAUUUGGUCCAGAGGGAG